rnacentral:rRNA from 1 species
UUUUUGAGAGGAGUCGUAACAGGUUUCCGUAGGUGAACCUGCGGAGGAUCAUUA